rnacentral:ncRNA from 1 species
CGAAAGAGGCGCGGCGUUCAUCAGUACUCCCCUGUUCCCGGCCGGGCAGCCGCGGGGAGGAAAGGGUACGCCGCCGAAGUGCCGCAGCUCUGCCCGGGGAUACGGUGCUGGGGUCAUGGAGAAGAUCCAUGGCACUGUCACGCAGGACGUGGAGCGCUGUCG